rnacentral:rRNA from 1 species
AACGAACGCUGGCGGCAGGCUUAACACAUGCAAGGCGAACGCCCCGCAAGGGGAGUGGCAGACGGGUGAGUAACGCGUAGGAAUCUACCCAUCUCUGCGGAAUAGCUCCGGGAAACUGGAAUUAAUACCGCAUACGCCCUACGGGGGUAAGAUUUAUCGGGGAUGGAUGAUCUCGCGUUGGAUUAGCUCGUUGGUGGGGUAAAGGCCUACCAAGGCGGCGAUCCAUAGCUGGUCUGAGAGGAUGAUCAGCUACAUUGGGACUGAGACACGGCCCAAACUCCUACCGGAGGCAACAGUUGGGCAGAUUGGACAAUGGGCCCAAGCCUGAUCCCGCCAUGCCGCGUGAGUGAUGAAGGCCUUAGGGUUGUAAAGCUCAUUCACCGGUGAAGAUAAUGACGGUAACCGGAGAAGAAGCCCCGGCUAACUUCGUGCCAGCCGCCGCGGUAA